CUGUCUGCUGCAAGGGGCCCUAACUCUGACCCUGAUGUGAUGUUUUAUUCCCGUGGAAGAAAUGGAGGAGUCUUCUAUGUCUAUUUUGCACAUGUUAAUGGACAUCCUGCAUUGAUCAUUUAAUUAAAGUUUCACACAACGUUAAAUAGAAAGUGAAGAUGUGAUGAAGUCAAAGGUAAAAAUAAACAUUUCCUACAGAAAAAAACCCCCAUCAACUUCUCACAACAACAACAGCAGGUUCUAACAGAGAACUGCAGUGCUGCACAGAAGCAGACAUCAUUGAUUGGACAACACAGAAGCAGACAUCAUUGAUUGGACAACACAGAAGCAGACAUCAUUGAUUGGACAACACAGAAGCAGGACUGUGUUUCCAUGGAGCUCCAGGCUUGUUAGUGGAUCUGAGACUGAUAAGACUUCUUCUCAGCAGCACAGCGGACUGAUUCCAUUCUCCAAGUUUAAAAAAACGAACUUUUUCAUUCAUUAUUCAGUGAAUUUUGAGACACCUGUAAAAGAUCCCAAUAUCCCCUUUGUCAUCAUUUGUGGUGACAUACAGCUAACUCAUCAUGCCAAAGACUUGUCUUGGAGAAGGUUUCCCACAAUCCUCAGCUUCCUUAAGCCUGUGUAUAAGGGAUGGACCCAGAGAAUUCCAGGAAUCUGUAUCUGACAUCCCGACAACCAACAUGACGUCACGAUAUAAACAACAACACAUGACAUAAACAACAACAUAACAGAGAACUAAAACACACWUUGGAGAAAUCCUGAAUAAGAAUUCUAUAGCCGUUAUUGGUUUGUUUAGCUUUCUACUGCACCCAGCGAUCAGCAAGAGAGUAGAGAUGUUUAAAACACUGUGGAUUUGAGAGCAAUUCAUCUCCAUCAGCGUCGUCUGUUUGGGACUUUACUAUUGAAGAAGUAGAUUGCCAUACAAUACGUGACUUUAAAAGGAUAAGGGUCUAUCUGUAAAAAGAUGAUUCUGAGGUAUUUGGCUUUAAAGUUCCCGAAACCUCAUUGGUUUGAACGGUGUGAUCAAUUUUAACAUGUAGUCUUUACCAACAUAUUUACAGCACUAUAUAGGUAGACAUUGUACAGAACAAAAAUAUUUCAAUAACUCCAUUUUCACAAAAAAUGCCGAUAGAACCAUUCAAUUCCAAGCUCUCGAUUAGGCCCUCAGUCCUCUGGCAGGUGGACUAUAUACUCUGUAGAAAGUCAAGCUCUCGAUUAGGCCCUUAGUCCUCUGGCAGGUGGACUAUAAACUCUGUAGAAAGACAGGAGUUUAAUUUAUAGUUCCAUUGCCUUUUGAAAAUGUGUUUUUUUGCGGUUUACAAUUGAAUAGGCAAUAUCUCACAAGUUCAUAUUAUUACAAGGAAUACUGUUGUGCUUUAUUACAUGUUUAUUAUUGAAUAAUAAAUAACAACACGUGGUCUACACACGGGGUCUACA